rnacentral:rRNA from 1 species
GUGCGUAACAGCUCACUGGUCUAGCGAAUCUGCGCGGAAAAUGACACGGGGCUCAAGCAUACCACCGCAAUCGCGUCUGCUGCAGGUCCUCCGGGAUCUGUAGCGGGGUAGGAGAGCGUUCCUGGCGCAGUGAAGGCAUACCGUGAGGAGUGCUGGAGCGCCAAGAAGUGAGGAUGUCGGGAUAAGUAGCGAGAAACAAUGUGAGAAUCAUUGUCGCCGAAAACCUAAGGUUUCCUAGAACAAUGUUCGUCAGUUCAGGGUUAGUCGGGCCUAAGCCGAGGCUGAAAAGCGUAGGCGAUGGACAUCCGGUUAAAAUUCCGGAACCAGGUUUUGGACGCCAGUGUAAGCGGUGACGCAGAAGGGUAAUCGAUCCCGUCUGAUGGAUGGCGGGCUAAAUGCGUAGGGGUGUUCCUCCAGUAAAGUACGGAGGGGCGUUAACCUGAAACAUGAAUGCGAGUGCCGGGCGACCGGCGCGAAGUCGACCAACCACGCUGCCAAGAAAACCCGCGUAUACUGUCCAGAAUCUGCCCGUACCGUAAACCGACACAGGUGGGUGGGGUGAAAAUCCUAAGGCGCGCGAGUGAGACUUGGUUAAGGAACUAGGCAAAAUUAUCCCGUAACUUCGGAAGAAGGGAUGCUGCUUGUUAACUCAAGCAGCCGCAGUGAAAGGGGCAUCGUGACUGUUUAACAAAAACACAGGACUCUGCUGAAAUCGCAAGAUGAUGUAUAGGGUCUGACUCCUGCCCGGUGCUGGAAGGUCAAGGGGAGUGGUUAGCCGCAAGGCGAAGCUACGAACUCAAGCCCCAGUAAACGGCGGCGGUAACUAUAACCGUCCUAAGGUAGCGAAAUUCCUUGUCGGGUAAGUUCCGACCUGCACGAAUGGAGUAACAAAGAUGCCGCUGUCUCAACCAAGUGCUCGGCGAAAUUGUGGUACGAGUGAAGACGCUCGUUACGCGUGGUUAGACGAAAAGACCCCGUGGAGCUUUACUGUAACUUGUCAUUGUGUUAUGGAUUUAAUUGCGUAGAAUAGCUGGGAGCCUUUGAUGCAGGGGUUGUGGCCCUUGUUGAGGCGCAAUGUGAAAUACCAGCCUAUCGAAUCUGUGACACUAACCUACGGCCGUAAUCCGGCCUAGGGACCGUGACAGGCGGGCAGUUUGACUGGGGCGGUCGCCUCCUAAACGGUAACGGAGGCGUUCCAAGGUUCGCUCAGGGCGCAUAGUAAUCGCCCAUAGAGUGCAUUGGCAGAAGCGAGCUUGACUGCAAGGCCUACAAGCCGGGCAGGGACGAAAGUCGGACAAAGUGAUCCGGUGGUACCUCGUGGGAGGGCCAUCGCUCAACGGAUAAAAGCUACCCCGGGGAUAACAGGCUGAUCUGGUCCAAGAGUUCACAUCGACGACCAGGUUUGGCACCUCGAUGUCGGCUCAUCGCAUCCUCCCGCUGGAGC